rnacentral:rRNA from 1 species
CCGCCUGACCCCGCCAGAGGUCACUGCUAUCGGAGUUCGACUAAGCCAUGCGAGUUGAGGGUGUUGGUCUUUUGAUCAAUAACCUGGCGGAAUGCUCAGUAACACGUGGAUAACCUGCCCUUAGGAUUGGGAUAACCCCGAGAAAUUGGGGACAAUACCAAAUAGGUCAUUAAUGCUGGAAUGCAUAAUGGUUUAAAGUUCAGGCGCCCUAAGGAUGGGUCUGUGGCCGAUUAGGUUGUUGUUGGAGUAAUGGUCCAAAAAGCCUAUAAUCGGUACGGGUUGUGAGAGCAAGAGCCCGGAGAUGGAUUCUGAGACACGAAUCCAGGGCCUACGGGGCGCAGCAGGCGCGGAAACUUUACACUGCACGAAAGUGCGAUAAGGGGACUUUGAGUGUCAAUGUAUUGCAUUGACUGUCCAGAUGCCUAAAAAAGCAUUUGAUAGCAAGAGCCGGGUAAGACCGGUGCCAGCCGCCGCGGUAACACCGGCGGCUCGAGUGGUGAUCACUUUUAUUGGGUCUAAAGGGUCCGUAGCCGGCAUAAUAAGUCCUUUGGGAAAUCUGGCGGCUUAACCGUCAGGCUUCUAAAGGAAACUGUUGUGCUUGGGACCGGGGGAAGCUAGAGGUACUUCAGGGGUAGGAGUGAAAUCUUGUAAUCCUUGAAGGACCGCCGGUGGCGAAGGCGUCUAGCUAUAACGGGUCCGACGGUGAGGGACGAAAGCUAGGGUCACGAACCGGAUUAGAUACCCGGGUAGUCCUAGCCGUAAACGAUGUGAGCUAGGUGUCAGUCAUGGCAUGUCCGUGAUUGGUGCCGUAGGGAAGCCGUGAAGCUCACCACCUGGGAAGUACGGCCGCAAGGCUGAAACUUAAAGGAAUUGGCGGGGGAGCACAACAACGGGUGGAUGCUGCGGUUUAAUUGGAUUAAACGCCGGAAAGCUCACCGGGGGCGACAGCAAUAUGAAGGUCAGGCUGAAGACCUUACCAAAUUCGCUGAGAGGUGGUGCAUGGCCGUCGUCAGUUCGUAUCGUGAGACAUCCUGUUAAGUCAGGCAACGAGCGAGACCCGCGUCCAUAGUUGCCAGCAUAUUCCUCUUCGGAGGAAUGAUGGGUACACUAUGGAGACCGCUGGUGCUAAAUCAGAGGAAGGAACGGGCAACGGUAGGUCAGUAUGCCCCGAAUCUCCCGGGCUACACGCGGCAUACAAUGAUCGGGACAAUGGGUAUCGACCCUGUAAAGGGAAGGUAAACUCCUAAACCCGACCUUAGUUCGGAUUGAGGGCUGAAACUCGUCCUCAUGAAGCUGGAAUCCGUAGUAAUCGCGUUUCAAAAUAACGCGGUGAAUACGUCCCUGCUCCUUGCACACACCGCCCGUCAAACCACCCGAGUGAGGUCUGGAUGAGGGUAUGUUUUUUUGGCAUAUUCGAAUCUAGGUUUUGCAAGGGGGGUUAAGUCGUAACAAGGUA